rnacentral:rRNA from 1 species
GUUGAACGCUGGCGGCAUGCCUUACACAUGCAAGUCGAACGGCAGCACGGGGGCAACCCUGGUGGCGAGUGGCGAACGGGUGAGUAAUAUAUCGGAACGUACCCUGGAGUGGGGGAUAACGUAGCGAAAGUUACGCUAAUACCGCAUACGAUCUAAGGAUGAAAGUGGGGGAUCGCAAGACCUCAUGCUCCUGGAGCGGCCGAUAUCUGAUUAGCUAGUUGGUGGGGUAAAGGCCUACCAAGGCAUCGAUCAGUAGCUGGUCUGAGAGGACGACCAGCCACACUGGGACUGAGACACGGCCCAGACUCCUACGGGAGGCAGCAGUGGGAAUUUUGGACAAUGGGGGCAACCCUGAUCCAGCAAUGCCGCGUGAGUGAAGAAGGCCU